GAGGCCUGCCUGCCCAGUGACAAACGUUCAACGGCCGCGGUAUCCUGACCGUGCAAAGGUAGCAUAAUCACUUGUUCCUUAAUUGGGGACUGGAAUGAAUGGCCUCACGAGGAUUCAACUGUCUCUUACCUCUAAUCAGUGAAAUUGACCUCCCCGUGAAGAGGCGGGGAUACAACAACAAGACGAGAAGACCCUAUGGAGCUUUAAUUUUCUGUCUUAACUACUAAAUAACUAACCCUACUGGGAUAAAAAAAAGAGAAGUAAGUCAGUAAUUUCGGUUGGGGUGACCUCGGAGAAUAAAACAACCUCCGAAUGAUUUUAACCAAGACAAACAAGUCAAAGUAUUAAAAAUCAAAUUGACCCAAUUCAUUUGAUCAACGGACCAAGUUACCCUAGGGAUAACAGCGCAAUCCUAUUCAAGAGUCCAUAUCGACAAUUAGGGUUUACGACCUCGAUGUUGGAUCAGGACAUCCCAAUGGUGCAGCAGCUAUUAACGGUUCGUUUGUUCAACGAUUAAAGUCCUACGUGAUCUG
rnacentral:rRNA from 1 species